rnacentral:rRNA from 1 species
UCCAGACUCCUACGGGAGGCAGCAGUGAGGAAUAUUGGUCAAUGGCCGAGAGGCUGAACCAGCCAAGUCGCGUGAGGGAUGACGGCCCUACGGGUUGUAAACCUCUUUUGUCGGGGAGCAAAGAGAGUCACGUGUGGCUCAUUGAGAGUACCCGAAGAAAAAGCAUCGGCUAACUCCGUGCCAGCAGCCGCGGUAAUACGGAGGAUGCGAGCGUUAUCCGGAAUGACUGGGCGUAAAGGGUGCGUAGGUGGUUUGACAAGUUGGUAGCGUAACUCCGGGGCUCAACCUCGGCACUACUACCAAAACUGUUGGACUUGAGUGCAGGAGGGGCAAAUGGAAUUCCUAGUGUAGCGGUGGAAUGCGUAGAUAUUAGGAGGAACACCAGUGGCGAAGGCGAUUUGCUGGACUGUAACUGACACUGAGGCACGAAAGCGUGGGGAGCAAACAGGAUUAGAUACCCCGGUA